CGCAUCUGUGCAUGCAGCAUAUCAAUAAGCGGAGGAAAAGAAACUAACAAGGAUUCCCCUAGUAACGGCGAGUGAAGCGGGAAGAGCUCAAAUUUGAAAUCUUAAAGGGUUUCCCUUUACGAAUUGUAGUUUAAAGAAGUGUUCUCUGUUGAGGUUUUGGUAAAAGUUCUUUGGAAUAGGACAUCAUAGAGGGUGAGAAUCCCGUAUUUGACCUUUACUUUCAACUUUGUGAUACACUUUCAAAGAGUCGGAUUGUUUGGGAAUGCAGUCCAAAAUGGGUGGUAAAUUUCAUCUAAAGCUAAAUAUUGGCGAGAGACCGAUAGCGAACAAGUACCGUGAGGGAAAGAUGAAAAGAACUUUGAAAAGAGAGUUAAACAGUACGUGAAAUUGUCAAAAGGGAAGCGUUUGACACCAGUGUUGUUUUUCUGAAAAUCAAUUAGAGAACUGUUUAUGCUAAGCUGUUUAGACUUUAUCAGCUAACUGUUUAGUUUUGAGCUUUUCUUUAAUGCACUUUUCAGUUAACAAGUCAACAUCAAUUUCUUUUGCUGUAAAAAAGCUUGAGGAAGGUGGCUUGAGAUUUCGGUCUUAAGUGUUUAUAGCCUUUUAUCUCUGCAGUCGGGGAGAUUGAGGUCUGCAGCGUAGAUCCUUCGGGGCUAGAUACAUUUAUGCUAAGUUAUAGCUUUUCAUAGACAACUUGUUGACUAUGUUAAGUCUUGUAGCUUACUCGCUUAUGCUAUUUUACCUACGCUUAGGAUGUUGAGCGCAUGUCUCUCUCU
rnacentral:rRNA from 1 species